GACGUUUCGUUGAAUCCUUAAAAAAAAUAUUUCGAUGAAAAAUCGAUACUAAUGAAGCUAUCAAUAAAAAUUAGCAUAAUAGAUGAAGUAAAAUGAGAUACGAUCGUGAUGUAAGAUCAGAGAUCGUUUACUUACUAAUGUAUCGUAUAAUCAAAUAUUCUGAGGUUCACGAUGAAGCAUCAGUACCACCUGGAUGGGCGUAAACCUAAAUUUGUAAUGGUCAAUAGAGAAUCGGACAAUAAUUUCGAAGUUACUGCAGGAGCCGGAUAAUAACGGAUGCUUUCGAACGGAAAAAGGGAUUAAAAUAAAUCGUGAAAUGGAAGAGGAGGAGAAGAUAAUGGAGAACCAUGGAACAGAAUACGCAAAAUUAAACUGAGUUCUUGGAAACAGAACAGAGUAAGAGGAGGGAAGAUCUCAUUAUACACACAUACUAUGAUGCAGAAAAGCUCGCUGGAAUAUAACGUGAUCGUUUUUAACUCCUACCUGUCUACAUAAAAUAUUAAAUUAAAUACAUAACUUUAAAGCACAAUCUAAUAUAGAAAGAGAUAGGUAGUGACCAGCAUUAACAUGAACUUUAUUUUUUGCUUGAAAUUCUAGGAAAUUCAGUAUUCUUGGAUCCUGGAGAUAUAUAGUAUCUCUCUUAUCUUGUACGUAAUAUAUAUACUUUAUCGUUUAAAAUAUUAUAUUCUUAUAUGUAUAUUUUAUUAUAAUUAAA